CGUGGGCGGGACAGUUCGGAGUACCUUGUUCGGCUCGUUCCGGGAGCCUGUAGAGAAGGUGUUGUUGUAUUCGUUUAGAACCUGAGCGGAAGGAGAGCAAAGCGAUAGGCCAAAAGACCUUUCUGUGUGCUCCAGAACUCUCUGACUCUGUGACCUCUUCUGAAUCAACAAUGGAUCAUGGCAAUUUUUCAGGUCAAUGAUUUCUUUUCAAGAGAAAGGUGUUUACAGUGUCAAUUAACAUGGGAGCACGGAAGAGAUUUGCUGUCAGAAGCUUAAUCAAAAUGCCGUCAAGCCACGUGAAGCUUAUUUUCAUGGAUCUGACAAGAUUUAUUUGGGCUUGGAGAAGAAACGAGAGAGAAAUUCAGAUACAAGUUUUGUUAAUGGAUGACGAGACAUGGUUGUGGAGGGCAAGAGACACAAUGGAGAUAAAUAAAUAGUUGAUCUAUGUCUUGAUGGUGUUAAAAAGGAAAACAAAGAAAGAAAACUGAGACAAAAAUGUCAAGUAAAAAUGGAAGAAUCGAGAAACAGACAGCAUGACAGCAAGACAAUCAAUAUCUGAAACACAGAUUAACAUUUCUAGAAGACCUCUGCUUGAUGCAUUUCUUCUCUUUGUAGACUUUUUUAUACCAUUUUCUCUUAUGCGAUGAGACAUGUGCUAACAUGCUGUGUGAUGGUGGAGUGGAGGCACCGGUGUUGUGUGGUAAAUUUUACUUUUAUUUGAAGUUGGUUUAAAGUCAACAAAUUAGUAGUGCCACUUAUUUUAGUCUGUUUUGGGAAGCCCUAGCAAUAUUCAAGUUCAAGCCUGUAUUAAGUGUGUCAGGAAGCUGCAGAUGCCAAAUAGGUGCUGUAAUGCAGCUCAGUGCUGGUGCACGAAGGGGAAACUGGCCAAAUUCUGUGCAUAGCUGAACAGUGGGUUGAGUCUGGAGAGGUCAAGACAACCACUCUUGUUCUUAAUGGCCCCACAAAACAAAACCAAAACACUCUGUAAUUAUUUUCAAAAUGGCUUCCAUGGGUAAAUAUAAGGACUAACAAAUAGACUGCUCAAAGUGCAAUACAAAGAGGUCAAACAUGCUGAGUGAAAAUUUUACCCAGGUCAGAUUUAUUCUCAACCUGCUAAAAUUGAUCCAGAAUAUGUUUGUUCCUGUUUGGGCCAAAAAUACACUGAUCAGCAAAGUUCUGUUGGACACACUUCAGGAAUUCUCCAUUUUCUCUAUCCUCUACAUUAUUAUUAAUCCAGUCUGUAUUGGGACAACUGAAGUCUCUAUAUACUUGCUUCUUUCUCACUUCGUGGUAAUUACUGAGCAAUUUUGUUCCUCUGUUUCCAUCUCAGUAGUUUAAUGCAGAAUAUACACAGUAAUGCAAUGG